AGUAACUGCGAGUGAAAAGGAAAAAGCUCAGCGCUAAAUCUCAUUGCUUUAAUUAGUAAUGCGAAGUGUAGCGUAUAAUGCGUAUUAUACAGUAUCGUAACCUGUCUUAAGUUUCCUUUGACUAGGAUUCCAUAGAAGGUGUAAGGCCUGUAAAGGUGGGUUUGAUGCUGUGCGAUGCGUAUUUUGAGUCAGGUUGUUUGAAAGUACAGCCUAAAGUAGGUGGUAAACUUCACCUAAAGCUAAAUAUGUCUACGAAUCCGAUAGCAAACAAGUACCGUGAGGGAAAGUUGAAAAGAACUCUGAAGAGAGAGUUAAAUAGUACGUGAAACCGUAUAUGUGGAAGCAAAUGGCAUUGUCGAAAGAUGGUAGUAAUUAGCCGAUAUAUGGUGUGUAAUAGUGGUAGUAUAUUUUGCUUGUCGAAAGUACGGCUGCUAUUUAUGCGCUAUUUGUUGGUGCACUUAUUAUCAAUGUACUGGUACAUUUGAUGAUCGUGUUUGAUAGAAUAUUUGGUAGCAGUUUUUAACUGUGUCACGAUAUUUUUUGAUGACAUGACUGUUAGGUGUGAUUCUGGUGCAGGUGGAUGUAUGUUGUUACUAUUUGAUCAGUUUGUGUCUUCGCUUGCGAAUGUACUUAUUGAUUGGAUGGUGAUGUCAUUCUGAUAUCUACACUAUACCGGUAUAAAGGACAAUUACCCAUUUGUCCCGUCUUGAAACACGGACCAAGGAGUGUAUUGCAUAUGCAAGUCAUUGAGUGUUAAAAGCUCAUAGGCGUAAUGAAAGUGAAUGAUGCUUUUACAGUAUCUUAUGUGUUAUCCUUUUCUUCGGAUUAGGCGCACCAUAGUCCUGUCCAAUAGACUUGUCUAUGGGCAGAGAAAGAGCAUAUGCAAUGCGACCCGAAAGAUGGUGAACUAUGCCUGAGUAGGAUGAAGCCGGAGGAAACUCUGGUGGAAGUCCGUAGCGGUUCUGACGUGCAAAUCGAUCGUCAAACUUGGGUAUAGGGGCGAAAGAC
rnacentral:rRNA from 1 species